UCGGGAAUUUUGGGCAAUGGGCGAAAGCCUGACCCAGCAACGCCGCGUGAAGGAUGAAGUAUUUCGGUAUGUAAACUUCGAAAGAAUAGGAAGAAUAAAUGACGGUACUAUUUAUAAGGUCCGGCUAACUACGUGCCAGCAGCCGCGGUAAUACGUAGGGACCAAGCGUUGUUCGGAUUUACUGGGCGUAAAGGGCGCGUAGGCGGCAAUUCAAGUCAUCUGUGAAAUCUCCGGGCUUAACUCGGAACGGUCAGAUGAUACUGCUUUGCUAGAGUGCAGAAGGGGCAAUCGGAAUUCUUGGUGUAGCGGUGAAAUGCGUAGAUAUCAAGAGGAACACCUGAGGUGAAGACGGGUUGCUGGGCUGACACUGACGCUGAGGCGCGAAAGCCAGGGGAGCAAACGGGAUUAGAUACCCCUAUAGUCCCUGAGCGGGCUGGCAAGGCGCAU
rnacentral:rRNA from 1 species